UGUUGGUGGAAAGGGAUUUUGUACUGGUUUUAUAUGGGCUCACGGCCUAUCAGCUUGGUGGUGAGGUAACGGCUCACCAAGGCGACGACGGGUAGCCAGCCUGACAGGGUGACCGGCCACACUGGGACUGAGACACGGCCCAGACUCCUACGGGAGGCAGCAGUGGGGAAUAUUGCACAAUGCGCGCAAGCCUGAUGCAACGACACCACGUGAGGGAUGACGGCCUUCCGGUUGUAAACCUCUUUCAGCAGGGGAGAAGCCAAAGUGACGGUACCUGCCCAAGAAGCCCCCGCUAACUACGUACCACCACCCUCGGUAAUACUUAAGGAGCGAGCGUUGUCCGGAAUUAUUGGGCGUAAAGAACUAGUAAGCCGUUGGGCCCCUCCCCUGUGAAAGCCCGCGGCUUAACCCCGGGUUUUUAGUGGUUACGGGUCAGACCACCACUGCGCGGGGGGGAUACUUGGAUUUUCUGGU
rnacentral:rRNA from 1 species